UACGGGGGGGGCAAGCGUUGUUCGGAAUUACUGGGCGUAAAGGGCUCGUAGGUGGCCAACUAAGUCAUACGUGAAAUCCCUCGGCUUAACCGGGGAACUGCGUCUGAUACUGGAUGGCUUGAGAUUGGGAGAGGGAUGCGGAAUUCCAGGUGUAGCGGUGAAAUGCGUAGAUAUCUGGAGGAACACCGGUGGCGAAGGCGGCAUCCUGGACCAAUAUUGACGCUGAGGAGCGAAAGCUAGGGGAGCAAACGGG
rnacentral:rRNA from 1 species